UACGUAGGGGGCUAGCGUUGUCCGGAAUCAUUGGGCGUAAAGCGCGCGUAGGCGGCCCCGGUAAGUCCGCUCUGAAAGUCCAGGGCUCAACCCUGGAAAGCGGGUGGAUACUGCCGGGCUAGAAUCCGGAAGAGGCGAGUGGAAUUCCUGGUGUAGCGGUGGAAUGCGCAGAUAUCAGGAGGAACACCAAUAGCGAAGGCAGCUCGCUGGGACGGUAUUGACGCUGAGACGCGAAAGCGUGGGGAGCGAACAGG
rnacentral:rRNA from 1 species